rnacentral:rRNA from 1 species
AGAACGAACGCUGGCGGCAUGCCUAAUACAUGCAAGUCGAACGAACUCUUCGGAGUUAGUGGCGCACGGGUGCGUAACGCGCGGGAAUCUGCCCCUUGGUUCGGAAUAACAGUUGGAAACGACUGCUAAUACCGGAUGAUGACGAAAGUCCAAAGAUUUAUCGCCAAGGGAUGAGCCCGCGUAGGAUUAGCUAGUUGGUGAGGUAAAGGCUCACCAAGGCAACGAUCCUUAGCUGGUCUGAGAGGAUGAUCAGCCACACUGGGACUGAGACACGGCCCAGACUCCGUACGGGAGCAGCGAGUAGGGAAUAUAGGACAAGUGGGCGAAAGCCUAGAUCCAGCAAUGCCGCGUGAGUGAUGAAGGCCUUAGGUUGUAAGCUACGUUUACCGAG